UGCUAAAAAUUUUAUCCAUUUCUACUAUUAAAAACGGGUCUAGCUAGUAGAAUACCCAAACAAUUACAUGUGAUGUACCACAUAUACCUCGUAUAAGACGAAUUUUUAACUGUAGAAAUUGAUAGAAUCUUUAACA
rfam:Gossypium raimondii Chr06_contig_1298, whole genome shotgun sequence.